rnacentral:rRNA from 1 species
UGGGGAAUAUUGCACAAUGGGCGCAAGCCUGAUGCAGCGACGCCGCGUGAGGGAUGGAGGCCUUCGGGUUGUAAACCUCUUUCGCCAGUGAAGCAGGCCAUCUUCUUUGUGGGGUGGUUGACGGUAGCUGGAUAAGAAGCGCCGGCUAACUACGUGCCAGCAGCCGCGGUAAUACGUAGGGCGCGAGCGUUGUCCGGCAUUAUUGGGCGUACAGAGCUCGUAGGCGGCUGGUCGCGUCUGUCGUGAAGUCCCCUGGCUUAACUGGGGGUUUGCGGUGGGUACGGGCCGGCUUGAGUGCGGUAGGGGAGACUGGAAUUCCUGGUGUAGCGGUGGAAUGCGCAGAUAUCAGGAGGAACACCGGUGGCGAAGGCGGGUCUCUGGGCCGUUACUGACGCUGAGGAGCGAAAGCGUGGGGAGCGAACAGG